rnacentral:rRNA from 1 species
CCUACGGGUGGCAGCAGUGAGGAAUCUUUGUCAAUGGACGAGAGUCUGAACCAGCCAAGUAGCGUGAAGGAUUACUGCCCUAUGGGUUGUAAACUUCUUUUAUAUGGGAAUAAAAUGUUCCACGUGUGGGAUUUUGUAUGUACCAUAUGAAUAAGGAUCGGCUAACUCCGUGCCAGCAGCCGCGGUAAUACGGAGGAUCCGAGCGUUAUCCGGAUUGAUUGGGUUUAAAGGGAGCGUAGGUGGAUUGUUAAGUCAGUUGUGAAAGUUUGCGGCUCAACCGUAAAAUUGCAGUUGAAACUGGCAGUCUUGAGUACAGUAGAGGUGGGCGGAAUUCGUGGUGUAGCAGUGAAAUGCUUAGAUAUCACGAAGAACUCUGAUUGCGGAGGCAGGUCACUGGACUUCAACUGACACUGAGGCUCGAAAGUGUGGGUAUCAAACAGGAUUAGAUACCCGAGUAGUC